CACGUAGGGGGCGAGCGUUGUCCGGAUUUAUUGGGCGUAAAGAGCUCGUAGGUGGUUCGGUAAGUCGGGUGUGAAAACUCUGGGCUCAACUCAGAGACGCCACCCGAUACUGCUGUGACUUGAGUCUGGUAGGGGAGUGUGGAAUUCCCGGUGUAGCGGUGAAAUGCGCAGAUAUCGGGAGGAACACCAGUGGCGAAGGCGGCACUCUGGGCCAGAACUGACACUGAGGAGCGAAAGCGUGGGUAGCGAACAGGAUUAGAAACCCCUGUAGUCC
rnacentral:rRNA from 1 species